UACCCUGUGGUGGAUGUCAGCGGUUUGAGUCCACUUAUCUCCAACCCAUGAUCCUAGCCAAUACAAUGGUAUAUGGUAGCACACAAUUAUAUGAGAAUGAGCAUAGAUCCAGAGAUUCCUGAAUAAAUUAACCUUUUUUAAUGCUGCUUAAUCCAUGGGCAGGCAAGAGACAACCUGGCGAAUUGAAACAUCUUAGUAUCCAGAGGAAUAGAAAUCAAAAGAGAUUCUUGUAGUAGCAGCGAGUGAAAUGGGACUAGCCUAAACGGUGAAAAUGGGGUUGUGGGAGAGAAAAAUAUAAUCUCUGUGCUGCUAGGUGAAGCGGUUGAGUCCUGCACCCUAUAUGGUGAGAGUCUAGUAUCCAAAAGCAUCAUUGGGUUACGCUCUAAUUCGAGUAGCAUGGGGCACGUGUAAUCCCAUGUAAAUCAGCAAGGACCACCUUGCAAGGAUAAAUACUCUUGGGUGAACAAUAGCGAAGUAGUACCGUGAGGGAAAGCUGAAAAGAACCCCCAUCGGGGAGUGAAAUAGAACAUGAAACCGUAAGCUCCCAAGCAGUGGGAGGGAAAUGAUAUCUCUGAUCGCAUGCCUAUUGAAGAAUGAGCCAGUGAAUUAUAGGUAGUGGCUUGGUUAAGGGAACCCAUCAGAGCCGUAGUGAGAGCGAGUGUUCAUGGGGAAAUUGUCAUUGCUUAUGGACCUGAACCUGGGUGAUCUAUCCAUGACCAAGAUGAAGCUUGGGUGAAACUAAGUGGAGGUUUGAACCGAAUGAUGUUGAAAAAUCAACAGAUGAGUCGUGGUUAGGGGUGAAAUUCCACUCAAACCCAGAGCUAGUUGGUUCUCCCUGAAAUGCGUAGAGGUGAAGUAGUUGAUUGGACCAUCUAGGGGUAAAGCAUUGUUUCAUUACGGGUUAUGAGAGCGGUACCAAAUUGAGGCAAACUCUCAAUACUAGAUUGCCCCAAUAAAAGGGGUAAAGGUCAGCCAAUGAGAUGAUGGGGGAUAAGCUUCAUCGUCAAGAGGGAAACAACCCAGAUCUUAAGCUAAGGCCCCUAAAUGACUGCUCAGUGAUGAAGGAAGUAUGAGUGCAAAGACAACCAGGAGGUUUUCCUAGAAGCAACCAACCUUGAAACAAUGCGUAAUAGCUCACUGAUUGAGCGCUCUUGCGCCGAAGAUGAACGGGACUAAGCAAUCUGCCGAAGCUGUGGGAUGUAAAAAUACAUUGGUAGGGGAGAAAAAUGGCCCAAAUAUGCUAGUGCUACUAGCUUGGAAGGUAGUGGAGUGAAAGCA
rnacentral:ncRNA from 1 species